CAGCUUCCCUCACAGCGCCGGAUCGCCGCACCGCCGCUCUGCUAACGCGGACAGGGGUGCGGGCCUUCUCCGGCCGCCGCGGGCAGGAACGAAAAACCCUUGAUGGUGGGCUACCAGAGGGCUUCGGACUACCAGUGGCGUUGCGGGAUGUAGACACGGAUGCAGAGGAGUCCUCUUGCCAAAACAGGUUCUUUAACCCGAUGUGCUAGAGGCCAGUACACACAGAGUCGAGAUGAACAAAUUCCACAAGUGCAUGAGAACACAUGAUACUGUCAAGCAUGCCAGAGGAACUAAUUCAAAUCAAAAAGGCACAAUGUCCCCCUUGGGAGAACAAGAGGAGGUGUGCAGGACACCUGCUUUCACUGCUGUGGUGCACGAGAGCCUGAGGUUGAGGCGAUGACCUUCGGGACACCCUGCAAGGUUCAGCUGCUUACCCAGCUCUUCCCUGCAGGUGUGAGGAAGGGUUGUAUGAGUUAUUGCACGUGUUUUGUUGAAGUUGGUGAUUUUUUGGUGUGUGUAGUUCACUCUUUGCUUUCAGAUUACAGAUUUCAUCUUGUCAUUUAUAGCAAUUUUUUUUUCCAUAAGGAUAAAAACCAGAAGUAUGUUUUAUAACUUUCUGACUAUUAUUCAAAAAUUUCUUUUUGUACAUACUUCUUAGAAACAUUAAUUAACUUUUAGAAAAAUCUUGAUAAUAUAUUGGCAUGUAAUUUGCAAAAUCAUAAUUAAAUUAAUAUAUUUAUAUUUUUACUAAUAAGAGAAGUGAUUUUAAAUAAAAAAUAGAGAAUUCAGUUGUCUGCUAUGAGUUACACUAAUCCAUAAGUAUUCAAAAAUGGCCAUAAAUUGAAGAAAAAUCACAAAGCUUAAUAAAAAUAAAGACAUUAAUACAAGUAGUCUAACAUAAAAAUGCAUUAUUUGCUAUACACUAUAUCUUUCCUGUUUUUAAAACAUAUCAUUCAGUCAAGAAGCAAAGUGCAUAGUUUAGAUGAUUAGUUACAUACAUCAGAGAAUGAAUAUCAAGGUAGAGAGUAAAAGAAUAUUUAUAUACUGAAUGCUGUUUGAUAGAGAAAACAAAACACAAAUGUGUUUGAUAUUACAGCAAGCUGUUCAGGAGCCUCCAGAGCUCAUUACAAGAAUGCACUAAACAAUAGUUAGCUUCAUUUACUCAACAAAACAGAAAACUGACAUUAAUUUUGGAUAGAUAUUUCUCACUUAUUCACUUUCAUUAUUCACUCAACCAGAUCGUGAAUUUUUGAAGGCAUAAGCAGAUUUAACUUGAACAUUUCAAACAGCAUUAAAUGUAGGUGUCACUUAAAGAGUCCUUAAAACAUCUUACGUCAGUGUAACUGAGAUCGAUUUUAGGUACAGCUGUCAGCUAAACAAAGGAAACAAAAUUAUUGACAGAGUUUACUUUGUAAUUCAGAUUCAUUUUCUGUUUUGUUGUCAUCUGUGCAUGAUUGCUGCAUCUCUUUUCCAGAAUAGUACUGUUCUGUUCCAACAUCUUUUGUGCUCUAAGAUGCCAGCAUAGAGCUUCAGAAUUUGUUCCAGUAAACAGAUUCCUCCAGCUCAAUAACACUUCUCUUGGUUUGUUUGAUGAGGCCGAGGUCAGGAAACAAAAGGAUUUUGUUCUCCAGAUACUGGAUAUUGCAUUGCUAGAGUUGCUUUCAGCAGUCUAUCGUGUUCUCCUAUUUCAAACUUAGAUGGAAUAAAAACACUCCCACUGUUGUUCACAGUCACGUUCUCCUCACUUGUAUUCUACAGCACUAUUCCCCAUAAAAUAUGUUCUUCCUCAAUAUCCCUUUCCAGAAGUUCAGUUUGAGUUUAAUAUUUGAAAUAGGAUCUAUUUGGCCUGUACCAGAGGGGGGUUGUGCACAACUCCAGACCUCGUUUGGUUUUCAGUUGCUUCCUCCCUUUUGUCUAGUGACACACAUUUCACAAAGGAAUUCAGACACCUCAGACACUUUCUCCACCUGCAGCCCAUGAAAUUUUAAAGGUACUUUUAGGCUCUUUACUUUCCCUUAUCAUGGAAAUACAAGCCCUCAGGAAAAAAAGAGGAAUAGAUGUACAGCAGGAGAAACUAUUUAGCUAUCUUACUAUAAUCUGCCCACAUCCAGUGGUAUCUGAACUCAGAGUUCCACAGUAUGGGCACAUGCUUCUGAUACAGCCCAGACCACACCAUGUAGAGGCCCCAGUAUGUACUUCUUAUCUAACUCUUCGUGAUGCCUGGUUUGCCAAGCUCUUUUUUUAAAAUAUAUAUCCAGAAGCAAUUAUUUUAGUACCCCGAGUCUUUACCAAAAGACUGCCUGUUGGUAUAGAUAGAACCACACUUUCAUCACAGUGAUGCACAAAAUUAAACUUAUAAUAAUUUUAAACUAUAUUUUAAUGAUAUUUUCUAGACUUAAAAAACAUAGCUUAAUGAUAACUGAAAAAAAACCCCACAAAAACACAAUCAAAGGCAACACCACCAAUCAAAGCAUUUGAACUUUAAUUUUUUAAACAUUUGACAAUAAAGAACCAUCACAAUUUAAUACAUAGUUCCUCAAAUAUUUCACAAAUACCAUCAUCUUUUCCCAUUAGAGUUCCACAACAGAUUACCUGCCUGCUGCAAGGAGUAAUUUAUUUUAUUCUUAUAUCAGCUGAUUGCAAGCAAACCUUUCCUUAAAAUUCUUGACAGGAAUUCUGUCCAAAGAAGCCUCUGUAGCAAUGAUGUUAGGUGUAGCUCUGUGCUGAGAGAGCUGUGCAGAGAAUGCAUUGCAUGCACUGAGAGACAGCUGCGUGGGGUUCUCACAGGGGUGUGUCUGCUCUGUCUCUGGACAGGAGAGGAGCCAUCCAAGGGAGCUGCAGCAGCCGCACUCCCCCCUGCCACAGGCUGAGCACUGCUCACAUCCCGAACUGACAGAGCUGAGGCUUUGGACAGCACGCUUCCUUCAUAUUCAACAAGCCUGCUAUGUAUUUGGACAGUCUGCUGUGUGUAUGUUUCCGCUGCAAUGUUCUGUUGUUCAUGAUGUCAUGACAAAACAAAUUUAAAUUGAUAGUUACAAUAAUCUAUUACCAUUUAUUUUCAGAAAUUUUAGCAAAUGCAUGUUUUUUGCAUAGGCUGUUCAUAACAAAACAGAUUCGUAAUCUUUUAUUCCCCUGCAGGCAAAGACUUUCUGGCUGAAAAACAUCUCUGGCUUCCAAUUGGAGAAGCAGGCAGAAAAGAGAGGAUCAUUUUAAUUCCCUUUUGUAAAAUACUGUGUCCUUGUCUUAGUCUUGAGAUCGGCAAGAUACUUGGGGAAUAUAUCCUUUUAGACAUUCAUCAGCUUCUCUAUCACAAGAUUUAUGGUCUCUCUUCUUAAUCUCUACAAUUGAGGUAUGUUAAUCUUUUACAUAAAUCAGUAUAUAAAAGUGUGGAUUGAUUAAUAAAUUAAUUUUUCAGAAAUCAAAAAGCACAACAACAGCCUUUUGUCUUUCCCAGACCUUUAUUUUGAUAUGCAUGCUAACCCAUAGCAUAAAUGUGUCAGCAUUCCACAUCACUAGAAAUAUACCUCUUCUCAUGUGAAUUUUCAGACUGUUGUGCUGAAUAACAUAGGUGAAAUGUUAUUUUAAGGUCUGAAAUUUUCAUGUUCUGAACAGCCAUUGUGUGCAUUCAGGAGAAAAAGCAAAAAAACUUACCAGUAAAAUUACAUUUCAGGUAAAAGUUCAGGAAGGAAUUAUUUCUUCAGAUUUUCCCUGUAAAAAUAGGAAUACAUUUUUCUGGAUAUGUAUUAUUCUAUUAUUUUAACUAUUUGUAUAUACUUGUUAUGUUUCACUAUGGACAAAGAAUUAAAAGACUUUUAAUUAGAGGUCAUGGAUGGACCAGUUUUGAUGACUCAGACAUAAGAUGAGCAAGUUUAUUUACUGCUUGGAGAGCUUCUCAUCUGAUUCACAUAGUCAAGAGCCAUCUUUAUAUAAAGUCCUUGGCCAUUUUCCUGGGAAUGUACAACUGCUGCCACAAAGACUCUAGCUACAUACAUACACAAGUUGAUUUUAACAUUUUAUGGUACUGGGACUGUACCUUAUGUUGUUCCACAGUCUACAUAUAAUCCUGAAUCAAUUCCAUGUGCUUCAGCAUAGUUUUUAUCCCUUAUGCAAAAGAUGGAUAUGGGACAUUUUAUAUGAUUAAAAUUCUGCUGUGAACUAGUCCUCCUGAAAGGAAUACCUCUUAAGAUAGACAAGUGUCCUGGAGUCUCCUCUUGCAUUCCUGUCAUUACAGAUGUUCCUCUUCCGUGGCUUGGCCCUUGCUGCUCACUGACAGUCCUGAUUAGGGGCUGGUAGAACAAUACCAGACUUGCUCCAAGGACAGCAAAAAUGCUUGCAGAACUGAUUGUUAAUUAUAUGGUGGCAUUUUCAGGGAAUUCUCUAGAAAAUAACCUUGGAGCAAGACAUCUAGCAUAGUGAAAACAACAACACACAAGUCAAGCACAUACAAAUGUAUUUCUGGGAUUCCUACAAACUGCUUAGCUGGUAAACUAGUCAUGCUUUUGUCUUUUCAGUGCUAAGACAAGAUUGGAUGAAGUACCAUUAGGUUUUAACUGAAAAUUAAAAAUAUUUGAGUAAAUCAAGGCAUUGCUAUGGAUAGACUUUAACUCUCAUGAAAUGUUGUACAGGUAUUUUUUUCCACCAUCAUGAUGAAGGCUGAUGGUGCUAAUGGGAUAGGCUAUGAGAAGAAAAGAUUUAAAAGUCCUGUAGCCCAUCCCAAUAAAUCUACCUCUGGCAGAUAUGAGCAGACAAUCUCUAACUUAAAGAAUUAAUAAAGGAUGCUGUAAAAAUGCAUGUGUAUUUACAACAUGCCUGUUUGCAUCUGCAAACUGACUUAAGUAAAAUAAUGAUUUAAACUGCCAAGAGAAGAACCUUUGCGUAAGUCUCAUUUUGAAAUGCAUCUGAAAACAGUCAGAACCACUUAGGAUUUCUUAACUGCCAGGGGUGACAGUUAUCUAUUAUUGAUGGAAAAGAUGAGCUGGGCAGAACCAUCUCUUAAUAUGGAAACACUGAUCCUCAUUCCAUUAAUUUAGAAUGAGAAUUGCUCAUACAAAAUGAAAAUAUGCUGCUCCAGCUUCUACAAGUCUGAACCUAAUAAAAAGAUAUUGCAUUAAAUUAAUUUUGAAUACCUUCUCCUGACUAUUAUGAUAGUAUUUUGAAAGAACAUAUAUCUAUCCCAUGUAUUUUGGAAGACAACAUAUUAAAUCCUCUUCUGACAUAUGGAUUCCUUCCUGUCUUGGCCACAUGAACACACACAACCACACUACUCUAGGGCAAUUACAUUACUCAGUCAAAAAAUACUCACAACAAGCCUAUCAGUGAGAAUAACUGUAUUUUAUUACUAGACCCUAGUGGAAAAUAUAAUGCAUCUUACACAGUUCUUCUAAUCUACCAGUGAUUUUAGUUUUCUGUCCUAAAAUGUAAGCUAACAAUAAUUGUUAUUUUUGCAAUAUUUUAAUAUUGUACUUCAUCAAGGUUUACUCAGCUUAACACCAAUACCAAUACCUGAAUGACCUUAUUUAAUGUCACUAAAUGUGGUGAAAAAAGUUGUCAACUCAGCACAGAUUACUUAAAAGACAAGGUGGAAAUUCCUCAAAGGACCAGCUUGUUCUUUUCCACUAAAGAAAAAAUUCUGUCUUGGGAGUCAGUACAUGCAGGAUUUUUCCCAGGUUAAAUACUUUCUACCUUUUUCUGAAGGAAAGCAGAACUGCAGGUUCUAGCUCUCAACUUCCACAGGAGUCUGUGGAACCCCAGCAAGAUGGAAAAUAUUUCAAAGGAAAAAAUUACAUCAUGUGGCAAUUUUACAGACCACUGUCCACUCUGUACAAGGAAUAAGGUAAAACACAUUCUAUUUUUCCUUUAAAACCAUAUUCUAAUGAUAAAAGUUUAGCCAAAUGCUGAUUAAUCCAAGGAGAUAAUUUGGACUUUGAAAAAAUACAUUUAAUCACUUGUGCAUAUCUUGUCCAGUUGGCCCAUCAUAAUGUCUUGAGGUUCAGCUCUUUAUCUAGGAACUAACUGUCAAUAUAUGAGUAGCAAAGCAUCCAUGCUUCAAAAAAGAAAAUCCACAUAUUCAUUUUAUAGGAUUGUUUGAUAGUUUUACAAUUCCGUAUCAGCAAACUGAAUGCACAUCACUGAAUUUACUGAACUGAAUUAAAGGUGACCAUAGGUGUUACUAUGGUAACUCUUGCACUUAAAAGUUCUAACAAAGAGGAGAAAACUCCUUCUAGCCCUGUUGUCAUAGAAAGUCAACAUUUCUUGCACAGGGCUUCUGAUCCUGAAAAGUGCUAUUUGAGUGCUCAAAUUAUGUUAAUCAGAUUUAUUAAUAUACUAAACAGAGAAAAUGUGUAAGAGGGGAAGAGAGAACCAUAUCAUGUGAAUAUAAAAUAAUUAACAAGAUUAGUGGUGGCUGUCAUUAGUAGCAGGUGUUAAAUGGUUUCAAGCAGAGCUACACCUUGAACAUUUAAUUUAAUUCCUCCUCUACAUUAUAUCUAUGAUUUCCUAUUCACCUUCACUCAAAGGCAUUGCAAAAGUCAGUGCAGAUGCUUCUGUGACAUUGGGUGUAUAGAAUGGGUAUGCUAUUAUAACUCUAGCAUGAUCUGUGUUCAACUUUAAAUCAAGCUUGAAAUCACUUGCACUUAAAGGACAUGUAGAUAUGGUGCUUAGGUACAUGGUUUAGUCAUGAACUCGGCAGUGCUGAGUUAAUGGUUGAAAUCUAUGAACUUUUUAAAGUGUCUUUCCAGCCUAAAAGAUUCUAUGAUUCUGUGGCUUGAUUACAGCUAGCAGCAUUCCGGAGCAGCACAGUCUUACCUCUAAGAGGUGCAAGGAUUUACAGAAAUUUUCUUGGAUUGUGUUACUGUUUAAGAUGAGAGAGAUUGGAAGAGUUUCUCAGUGCAAGGAAAUAAAAGUUGCUCUGGGAUGUCAUUAAGGUGCACUAACUCACAGCAUAUGUAGAAUGCCUUAAAUCAGGGAGUAACUUGAAGGGGUGUAAACCAACUUUAUGUAUGUGACAUACAAAUAUCUACAUCAUAAACCUGUAUGAUUGCAUGCAGCUCGACACACAACAUAUAUCUGUAUGAUACACAGGUAAACAAAAUUUAUAUUUAAAAAUUUAUAUUAGGAAAGAAGCUAAAGUGGUAAAUACCAGCUAAAACAAUGGGCAAUACACUGACAUAUAGCAUAAUUUAAAAUGUAAGAUGAAAAAAUCUCCUUAAAAGGCACUGAAAGCAGAGCAAAUAUUUGUAAUUCCGUUCUAUACAGUAGUCUCCUUUAGAGGCUUAAAUGGAUAUUCAUAUGAAUUAGCAGUAAAAAUGAGUACUUAGUUAAAAUGCACAGUCAAAUUUUCUGUUGUCAUUGCAUCAUUAUAUAAAAUGAAUUAGCAGGCUCCAAAAGUUUCACCAUUUUGGCAUAGCUUUCAUAAUUCCUAGAUAUUUUUAACUGACACAGAUGUCUAUGAAAUAUUAUUUAUGCUAGGCAGCAGUUUAUGAACUGUAGUGGACAGAAUAAAAAACUUGAAUAAUUUUAUUAAAUUAAAUUUUAUAUUAAAGUAUUAUUUUUGUAUUAAAGUAUUAUUUUUGUUGUCUUUGUCAUUGUGUUGUCUUUUCAAUGUCAAGUUCUAAAAAAUAUAUCUUAAAAAAGAAAAAUUUUCUUGUGGAUGAGGAAUUCAGUCUUUUUAUGUUACUAAAAACAAUAUUCCAAAUAACCAUGUUUAGUUGUCCUUAAAAACCCCACCAUUCUCUCAAAUGUCAGCAUAUAUUUGAUAGUACAGGACUGAUCUGACUUUAUUGAAUAAUUGUAUUUGAUAUUAGAUACAAAACUUGUUGACAUUAUUUAACAACAGAUGUGAUUAUUUCUAUCUAUUACAUAUAACAUUAUAUGUUUUCAAAUGAUAAUGAUUUUCAAAUAUUAAGAAAAUAACCUUAUCCAUCUGAACCACGGUUGGUUUCAGCUUUAUAAUGGCCCAGAUUACACAUUCCUAUAGGAAGAAUAUAAAUAUUCUCUAUUAAAAAAAUCACAGUUAAUAUAAAAGAUAAAAUCAAGAUGCCUUAGUCUAAGACUCUUUGGGAAUUCCCUGUUAUGCAUAUUAUAGAGCUCCUACCACAUGAAACUGAUUUUAAAUACAAUCUUCAGUGAUCUAAAUAUCUAUUGACUUCUUAAGUAAGUAGAAAAAUCACUGCCGACAGCAUGAAGUUACUUUGAAAAUGGCUUUAACCUAUACUUACCCUGGAGGUUUAUACCCCUUUGGGAUUCAGCUUCUUCUGAAGUAAUGCCAGGAAUGCAAAUAUCAUAGACUUGGUCUUCUAAUAUCAGCCAGGCAAACAACCCAGGGAAUAACAGAUUUUACAUAUUCCAUAAAUACAUCUCUUCCAUAACUGAAGACAGGGAACUCCACGUUCCUAGUGUUAAAUAAAGACAGUUUCUUCUCCUGUACCAAAAUCUGUUAGAUUUGAUUGUGAGAGCAGGGAUGCAUUUAUGUAAAGGUGGAAAAAAAGGAAAGUAUAUUAUGAGAGGUUUAAAAGUAACAUUUUUCACUCUCAAAAAUUAUGGCAUCAAUAAUAUCAAUAUCAACAUCAUUAAAUGCAUUGUGAUCAAAGAAUGUUGGCCUAAAAAGCUCUGACCAAUGUUGCAUUUGUUGCACUGAGGAUGCUGAGACAGAGUCACCUGCACAAAGUGUUGUUGUCAGGGGCAAUUAUUCACAGCCAGUGGGUUACAGUACUUCUCAUGUUGUGUUACUUUUUGGGAAGAGGAGAGAGGAGAAAAAAGACUGCAGCAUUCACAUACCCUCUGAACAGAGAGACUUAGCUUUCUCAGGAUUUCUCCUGAGAUAAACAGGAAGAAGAGAAUCAAAACAAUUCUUAUCUCAUUUGCUGCUCCCUGUUUGUGCCCAUGUAGAAUGUGGUAUGGAGAUUGUUUACCCAAGGUGAUUACUUAAUUAAAUUCUAGUGUUACUUGUUUAAAUUCAUAGACCAAUUAGGUCCAACAGCUGUGUCAGGACUCUCAGUAGAGAGUCGCGAGUUUUCUAGUUAACCAGUUAGUGAUUGUUCUUGUUAGUGUAAUAUAGUGGAAUAUAGUUAUAGUAUAAUAUGGUAUAAUAAAGUAAUUAAUUAACCUUCUGAAAUCAUUGAAGUUCGGAACUCAUUCUUCCCAGGCGCGGCGCGUCGCUUCU